CUCAUCAAUUUACCCAGACCUUCAGGAAAGUGGUAUAGGUGCAGGCCUGCUGCAGUCUCCUGUCUGGAGAGAAUUAGAAGAGAACAAUGCAGAUGGACCCUGGCCCACAGGUGCCUUUAUACUGGCUUGGCUUUGUCUAUGCAGCACUGGCUGCUUUAGGUGGGAUCAGUGGUUAUGCAAAAGUAGGUUCUGUCCAGUCCCCUUCUGCUGGAUUCUUCUUCAGUGAGUUAGCAGGCCUGGAUGCUUCUCAGCCAUCACGGAAUCCAAAGGAACAUUUGAGUUCUCCCGUUUACAUCUGGGAUCUUGCUAGGUAUUAUGCGAAUAAGAUUCUAACACUCUGGAACAUUUACGCUUGUGGGUUUAGUUGCAGGUGCCUGCUGAUAGUUUCCAAACUUGGAAGUAUGUAUGGUGAACAGAUCCUGUCAGUUGUAGCUAUGUCUCAGCUUGGACUCAUGAAGAAUUAAAAAUCUCCCAACUUCCACUAUUUUUAAUAUACUCUGAGAAAUAAGUCUAUAAAUUCACAUAGUCUGAUAUUUUACUUAAAAAAAAAAUGGAACUGAACUUGGCAGGAAAAAACUCAGUCAUUGUCAUUACAAUCUUACAGAGGUGGCAAGUAUACACCACAAGAGAUUACUAUUGUUCAGUUUUUGCAUGUUGAUAUUAUCUCCCCUUUUUCUUUUUGAGACAAGGUCUCACUCUAUUGCCCAGGCUGGGGUGCAGUGAUGCCUGCAGCCUCGACCUCCUGGGCUCAAGCAAUACUUCUGCCUCAGUCUCCUGAGUAACUAGGACUACAGGUGCCUGCUACCAUGCCCAGUUUUUUACUGUUGUUGUUGUUCGUUUCUUUAUCUUUGAAGAGACAAUGUCUUGCUAUAUUGCCCAGGCUGGUCUUACAGCCUCAGGCAAUCCUCUGGUCUUGACGUCCCAAAUUGCUGAGAUUACAGGGAUGAGCAACCAUGCCUGGCCUUUUUAUCUCCUCUUUCUGUGUCUAUAGGUAAAAUCUCAAGGUAGAAAAUAAUAGAUGUCAACACUGGGGAAUCUGAAACCUCAUGCCCUACUCAGAAGAAAAACACGAAAGAAAAAGCUCUUUGAGAUUUAGGGUAUCUGUUCUUUUGCUCAUCUUACAGCACAGAGCUACUCUGAAAUUAUGUUAAAUGAAAUAUCAAUAAAAAUAAAGUUUACUAAAAAUAAAAAGCAUCCUUAAUAAACACUGUCAAAGAUCAAUAUUUUUCAUUUUGUUCAGCUAUGAGUAAACAUUUUCCUUCAUUUUUAAAAAUUAAGUUGCAUUUUUGGCCA